rnacentral:rRNA from 1 species
AUUGAACGCUGGCGGCAGGCCUAACACAUGCAAGUCGAACGGUAGCACAGAGGAGCUUGCUCCUUGGGUGACGAGUGGCGGACGGGUGAGUAAUGUCUGGGGAUCUGCCCGAUGGAGGGGGAUAACUACUGGAAACGGUAGCUAAUACCGCAUAACGUCGCAAGACCAAAGUGGGGGACCUUCGGGCCUCACACCAUCGGAUGAACCCAGAUGGGAUUAGCUAGUAGGUGGGGUAAUGGCUCACCUAGGCGACGAUCCCUAGCUGGUCUGAGAGGAUGACCAGCCACACUGGAACUGAGACACGGUCCAGACUCCUACGGGAGGCAGCAGUGGGGAAUAUUGCACAAUGGGCGCAAGCCUGAUGCAGCCAUGCCGCGUGUAUGAAGAAGGCCUUCGGGUUGUAAAGUACUUUCAGCGGGGAGGAAGGGAUGAUGGUUAAUAUCCAUUGUCAUUGACGUUACCCGCAGAGGAAGCACCGGCUAACUCCGUGCCAGCCGCCGCCGUAACAC